GCGUAAAGCGCACGCAGGCGGUCUGUCAAGUCGGAUGUGAAAUCCCCGGGCUCAACCUGGGAACUGCAUUCGAAACUGGCAGGCUUGAGUCUUGUAGAGGGGGGUAGAAUUCCAGGUGUAGCGGUGAAAUGCGUAGAGAUCUGGAGGAAUACCGGUGGCGAAGGCGGCCCCCUGGACAAAGACUGACGCUCAGGUGCGAAAGCGUGGGGAGCAAACAGGAUUAGAUACCCUGGUAGUCCACGCCGUAAACGAUGUCUAC
rnacentral:rRNA from 3 species